UACGUAGGGGGCAAGCGUUGUCCGGACUUACUGGGCGUAAAGGGUGCGCAGGCGGUCUGAUGCGUCGUCGCUGAAAGCUCUCGGCUCAACUGAGAGAGGCGUGGCGAUACGAUUAGACUCGAGUCUCUGAGAGGGUGGCGGAACUCCUGGUGUAGUGGUGAAAUGCGUAGAGAUCAGGAGGAACACCGAGUGGCGAAGGCAGGUCUCUGGGCAUUAACUGACGCUGGAGGAGCGGAAAGCAUGGGGAGCGAACAGG
rnacentral:rRNA from 1 species